rnacentral:rRNA from 1 species
UCUGUUGUUAGGGAAGAACAAGUGCUAGUUGAAUAAGCUGGCACCUUGACGGUACCUAACCAGAAAGCCACGGCUAACUACCUGCCAGCAGCCGCGGUAAUACGUAGGUGGGAAGCGUUAUCCGGAAUUAUUGGGCGUAAAGCGCGCGCAGGUGGUUUCUUAAGUCUGAUGUGAAAGCCCACGGCUCAACCGUGGAGGGUCAUUGGAAACUGGGAGACUUGAGUGCAGAAGAGGAAAGUGGAAUUCCAUGUGUAGCGGUGAAAUGCGUAGAGAUAUGGAGGAACACCAGUGNCGAAUGCGACUUUCUGGUCUGUAACUGACACUGAGG